UACGGGGGGGGCAAGCGUUGUUCGGAAUUACUGGGCGUAAAGGGCUCGUAGGCGGCCAAUUAAGUCAGACGUGAAAUCCCUCAGCUUAACUGGGGAACUGCGUCUGAUACUGGAUGGCUUGAGUUUGGGAGAGGGAUGCGGAAUUCCAGGUGUAGCGGUGAAAUGCGUAGAUAUCUGGAGGAACACCGGUGGCGAAGGCGGCAUCCUGGACCAACACUGACACUGAGGAGCGAAAGCCAGGGGAGCAAACGGG
rnacentral:rRNA from 1 species